AUCUGGUUAAUUCCUCAUUGUUUAAGGAAAGUGGUUCUGAUGCAAUGAAUAAAAGUGUGGCAUUUUAGCUGCCUUCUGGGAGAUGUCAAGGGACAGGUCUCUGUAGUGAGGCUGCUGGCAUGUGAGAAUUUGUUUUUCAUGGGUUUGGAAAGACACAAAGAAGAAAAGAAAUGCAAGGGUAAUGAGCAUGUAGUUCAGAAGACAAAAAAGAAAGGGAGUGACUUAAUGUAGAAAUGGUAAAGUAGUAUGGAGAAGCCCACCUUGUAAAGUAAAAAAUGUAAAGGAAAAAUAUAAAGUAAAAAAUGGUGAAGGACUGGUAACAGAGACAGAAAUAAAUAAACAAACAAGGUGAAAGUCAUAAAUACAUCUAAGUUGAAUUUGAGCAAAACAUAUAAUGCCCAAAAAAGCAAGCGGUCUCUCCCACAGCUAGACUGUAUUUGUCACUUAGGAAAGGAGAGUUAUGUGUUGGGAUAAUUGACUAGAGUGAUGAUGAAGUACCUAUCACUGGAGUAUUUCUAUGACAGAGUAGUCAAAAAGCUGGGGAAUGCUGCCAGCUAUUGGAUGACCCUUCCAGUUUUAUUUUCUAUGACCUCAGCAUCAUAUAAUGCCUGAGUGGGAGAAGUACCUCAGUUGUGUGGUCAUGGAAACCUGUUUCUGACCUGGUCACCUCCUCACCAAAAUUCUCUAUGAUCUCAAAGAGUAAACAAGGCACAAAUUUGGAAAUUAAGUCAAUGAGGAAAAUUAAUAUAGAGGGGGAAAAAGGAAAAAGGAACUGGUCGAUCUGCAGACAUUUGCUUCCGACCUUUGGCCCCAUGCCACAAAACUUGCAAUUUCCUCCUCAUACUGAACAGCUCCAUUCUGUAACAAACACCUAGUUUGGCUUAGAUACAUACCAAAGCCCUCACAACUUGAAUUAAAAGCGCUUGGGGUCUUUCUUCCAAGAACAGAGUUAUUAAUUGAUCUACUGUGCUCUAAAUAGUUCUGUUCCCCCAUUCAAGGAAAAUUCCUUCUUAUUUCAACCAAAGUCACACUUCUGAAGUGAUCUGGGAUUAUUCUGGACUGGUGAUUAUUUCCAUGCAAGCCACCAAUUACUCUGUAUAAAACAAAGUGCAAAACAGGCUUUUAAAAGCAAAGUCUGGAGAAGCAUCAGAUUGAGAUGAAACAAACUUUCACUCUCCCUUUAUGUGGAGUUCCUCAGGGCUUGCCAACAGGACCUAGCACAGCCAAGUAUGCUAAUGUCAGUGGUUCUCCCUUGCAGGCAGGACACUUGCAUUGCUCCAGUACAUAUACAGCAGAAGAAGGCACAGGCCUUUAAAGUGACCACUCCUUCUUCACACAAAUCUACGCUGUGUUAUUUUUUUUUACACUCUGGGCCACUGAGUACAAUGCUGGUAAUUGGAGGAAACUGCUUUUUUUUUUUUCUCUGACAGUACUUUAGAGACAUUAGAUUCAUUAUUUGAGGGUGUGUAUGAAAUUCUGGAAGUAGAAUUUAUGUCUGCUAUGCUGUGAGAUCUUUGGUAUGAUAUUGACUCACUCAUUGGCACCUGAGAGAGGCUUGGGGAAUUCAGCAGAUUUUCAACAAUCCAGUUUGAGAGAUUAAACAGAAUUAUAGCUCGCUCAGGUUUCUCCUAAUUUUAUUAGAUUUUCACCAUUUCUAAGUGCAUAAACAUAUGCAGCCAAGUAUGCAGGUGGGGACUGGGAUGAUGUACAAGGACACUCAGGCUCCAUAGGCACCUAAUUGGUGGACUAAGCAAUAGGGCACUUGGAAAGACUGGUAUUUUUUCAGAACAUUCUAGGGUAAAAUUCUGUCCCCAUUAAAACUGAAGCAAUCAAGAGAGGAAAGAUUUUAUCUAUAGAUUCUGUUGGAGCCUCAGAGAAAGAGAUGAGAGGAACUAUCUGAUGCAGAAAAUAUCUAGGAUGAAGGUGGUUGUUGUGGGCAAGAUUAAUUACUUAUUUGUCUUGGACGCAGGAAAAAAGAUACAAUGUCUCAAGACCAUAGAAUUCACCUGAUAAAUAUGGUGAUAUCAGAAGGUUUUUGAUCAGGACUAAACACAGAACAAGCAAUGGUUAAAAAUUUCAAAUAAUAGCAGGACAAGUAAGAAGUAAUUUUGAACAUUGUUAUUAUUAGCAAAUGCUAAGCUGUAAUAUUUUCAGUGAUAUUUUAUAUUUUAUUUUAGAAAAGAAAUCUGGUUUUUCUAUGUAUAGGAGAACUCCUGAGCCUAUGGUAUGCUAUGGUAAAGUGACACCAGCUGAGGUACUGGCCCGGCUGUUUAUGUGGGUACUUUCUCAUGAAAUAAUAUUGUUAUCCAUAUUUCUUAAGGGAAUGCUGCUGUUGACUUAUUUUCUACAAUCAAAACAGAAAAAGGAGUAGGAGGGAAAAGUCUACACUCUGGGUUUUGCUCUGCAGUGUUCGUUUCUCUGAUACAGCAUCUGCACUACGAAAUUCACCCCGAAUGGACACUCAGAUGUUUUUACUUCCAGCAGAGAGGACACAACUCUCAAGCUGAAUUAGGCCAUUUGGAGAGGUUUACCAAAAUCUCCAUGGGUUACAGACGCAAGACUUUUCUCUCAAACUGGUCUGGACUGAGCACUUAGUGUGCAGUAACAUGCGAACUCUGACCACAUCACCGGUGUGAAAUUGCUGAUUAACCUUUUGACUCUGACAAUUGGGACUUCUCUCAACACCAACUGGUAAUGCAGAAGACCAUUAGUAGUUAAUAUUGGGACAUCCCAGCUCCAGAUGUCAAAAGGUUAAUGAAAAAUCAAGUAUCUUGCUUUUGCUGGGGAACUUGGAAACCUUCCCCCCAAAGCAGUUAAUUUUUUCUGAUAAAUAAGCCAGACUGCUUGAGCUGAGAAAGACGGGUGUUUUGCUAAUGUGUACAGCUGUUAAUUGAAAAAGAUUUGGGUAUGCUUGUUCUUUUGGAUGUAGAUAAAAGAGAGAUUUGUUGGCGAACUUAGUUAGUCUUGAACACCCCUUUGUUCAAAUACACUACAUAAUAAUAACGCUUUGUUCUUUCUGUAACAGCCAUGGAGGGAUUUUGAGUAGAAUACUCAUUUUCUUUAAGUCAUAUCUGCCAGUAAUCAUUCCUGGCUUAAGACCAGCUGCCAUUUAUGUGUUUUAUGAAAAUAUAACAGUUUUACACUCAAAACUAUUUUCUUUUUAGGUAAAAGCUUCAGCACAAGCUGGUUCCCUGUAUCUACCAUAAAUGCUAUUUAUCGCAGAUUUUGGUCUUUAAAACAGAAAGAUAAUGUUAAAACAUUUUGAUUACCCUUUCCUUGCUAUCAUUCACAACCCAUCUUUUCUAAUUAUGGUAUUAGGACAUUUACAUAACCGGGAAAAGGGUCCUUUAACUACAUUUCUAUUAUGUUUGGCACUUCUGUGAAAGGAUAUUAUAUUCAUGUGCAUUAGAGAUUGCUUAUAAAAGAUCAAGACAAUAAUAGCAGAUCAGACGAUAAAGGUUCCCUUUUCUCCUCCCAGACAGGCUGUCUCUGACAGAAGAAUACAGUUCAUCAAAAGUGUCUGCAGGUUGUCAAACUCAGUGAGAUUUGGGGACACUCGGAGGCUGUCAUGGCCAACAAGAAGAUUUUCUGUAGGGUUCUGCCAUCAUUCACCCUCAGGAAAUAAUCACUCACUACAUUCUGCAUGCUCUCAUGAUAGAGCUCUAUUUGAGAGAAAAGAGCCAUUUUAUCAAAGGACAAUAUAUCCCUUCUCUUGGUCCAUGUAGCUUCCAUUAUCAGACCAUAAUAAAUCAUAUUUAUGUUCUCAGUUAAUAAGACUGAUUACAAUGCAGGUUACAGGCAUGGGAAAAGAAAAUCAGGUGAAAAGAUGUUUUAAUGAAAAUAUGAUAAGCAAACAGCUUCUUGUGAACAUUUCAGGCUGUUAUUUGUAAUGAUCACAGGCAAUUUUUGAUACAUCUUCUUUAGCAAUGGUUUAAGCUGCAUAAAUUGGCUUGCCACUUUAUACGUUGAAAUAGGAAGAAUCCCGGUGUCCUUCUUAUGUUGUCUAGAAUCAUUAUAUACAUUAUAAGCAUAAAAUGAGUUUAAUGUAUGUGCUUUGAAAAGAAGGGGAAAACAGAAAAUCAGGGAAGACUGAUUUUAAUGCUGCUCAGAAUGAUUUUGAAAUUUUCUACUCAUCUUUGUUACUAACGGUGCAUUUUCCAUGAAAUUUAGGAAUGACAUGUACUGCUUUCAUCUCCUUAAAAUUAAUAUACUGUGCUCUCUGUUUUUCUCAAUUUCUUCAAAGUUCUUCUUAGAGCACUGCGCAAAGAGACAGAGAGAAAUUCUCCACUCGAAGCAUAUCUGCUGUUAAUGCUGAGGGGAGUUAAGUAUCUGCUUCUAUAGGAGAAUAUACCCCAGUGUUCCUGAAGGGCACCCUGUUAAUAUGGUGCAAGAAUGUCUAACUCUGGCACAUGUAAUGCAUUCAAGGGCCAACUUCCACUGAAUUUUUUUAAGUGAUUAAGGCAGUUUUUUAUUAGGGUAAAUAUUAUGAUACAAUUUCAGCAUAUAAGUGUAUGGAGGGAAGUGGCUGGUGGACUGUAUCACUGUCAUCUUGUGAAAAGUCUUAUUUUGCUAUUAUGUUCAGCAUUAUACUUUCAAGAUGGGGUUAGAAAUUUGAGGAAUAAUUUCCUCCUGCUAAUACAUAAUUUUGACUGGGUCUCUGAAAUUUUACAGCACUUGUAGAACAAUGGUGACAAAGACUCCUUGGUGUUGUGUCUGCAGGACCUAUUCUGCUCUCCGGUAUUUCCCUAAAAUCACUUUUACACAAAUUUUAAAGCAUUGUAUUUGUCCUGGCCCUGAAGAAUGGCCAUAAAAUUGCCUUAACCCUUUUAGGACACUUCAAAAGAGCAGUGCCCAUAUAAGAAACAGCAGACUGCUCUUCAAAGGCAAUAUCCUGAUAUGACAACAGAUGUAGAUAAUGUACUUCAUGAUGGAACUGCUUGAUACAGAGAAAAACAUGUUGUAACUGCCUUCACCGUGAAAGGGGUUUAAAAAUGCUGCCUGCCAACUCCACAAAAACCAGAGCUGCUAUUUCGGUUAAAGGCCAGUGGAUUGUAUUUUUCACGUCAGUUUUCACUAACCUCAAACAUCACUGUUAUGACAGAUUGUCAUCCAACCAAACCAGCAUUCUGUUGCCAUUUAAGCAAGCAAGAAAAAAGGAAACUUAAAAGUCCAAGUAGUAAUUGGGGGGUGCAUGUGGGUGAACUACUUUUGUGUAACAAUACUGAUUACUGAAAAUGAAACACUUAAAAGAAAAUAAACAAAAAAGCAAUGCUUUCUGAGCCAGUGGUGUUUUCUUGGCUGGCAAUUUCCCUUUGUUCUAUUUCAUGACACUAGGCUCAAUGGUUGAAGGGGUGUUCUAGGCCAGAUGUCAAUCACAAUGUCUGACAUAAACAAAAAUAGCUAAAAAGGCAUGCCAGCAUCUUCCUUUUGUUUUGCCAUUAGCUCCAUUUUUCUUUUCAUAGGCUGACAAAAAAUUACUGCCUCCAAGUGAAUUCAGUAAUGUCACUAUAUAUCUAAUAUCUAGGAGACCUUUUGUUUUAGCUUUACUGGGCUUAACCACAAAAGACACUUGACAUUGACAAAGAAUCUGUCAAACAUACAAUGAUCAGUGCAAUGAAACCUCUCAUGACAGAAGGGCACUAUUCUGCCUCCCCCUUGCCUCCAGCAGCAGCCUGUCUGAGCAAAAUAUGCUGGAGCACAUGUAGCAGCUGAACCAUUACAGAGCAGGCCAGAAGCUGAGAUGUGUCUUGCUUAAAUUGUCAUAGCAUAUUAGUAUAAUUAAAACUGCCAAAAGAGUAGAAAAGAUAGAUGGAAAUGUUACAUUACUUGUUUCUAGAGAUUAACCCCCAGCCAGAACUGAAAUUGAGAGACACGUUUUGGAUUUCUCAGAGCUCUGAUAUGGAAGAAAACAAGCCCAAGAGUACAUCUCUCGAAGUGCGAGACAUGAAGUCAUAGUUCCUAUAUUUACACCAAAAAAAAGAGAAAUAGUGUUUCAGACAGACACUCUGUUUCCUCUGUGAUUACAGCUCCCGUGGUGGCGGUGCUCUGCAGAGCAGUUGUAUCAUCUCUCAGCUAAUUCCUUUCCACUCCCCUCUGCCUUUGUUCCUGCAAGGUCUUGACACCUCUUGGGCUUGCUGAUGAGCCAAUGUCACCCCACUUUGCCCUGUCAUCUGUGGUCUUGGCUGGUGCUCCAGGUGCCCACCCCGCAGCAGUACACGGUGACCAUGGUCCAGGCUCUGGGCCUCAGCAAUGCCCAGCAGCAAUGGUCAGGAACUCAUCCUGCACAGGUUUCAUCCUUUGGGCAUGCCCAUCCCUGGGCAAGAGAAACAAAUGCCUGCAGGAAGCAGGCACAGACAGACUAGCCCUGAGAUUGCUCUUGAGUCCAGUUCCCUUGUGCACAAGAGACCCAGAAAGGGAAGACUUAAACUGCUUUGCCAAAGCUGUUUCUACUUCUCAUUGCAUGGGAAUAUGUUUGAACAAUGGCUUCAAUUUAAAAUCUGACCUUUCAAAUGCCAAGCUUUAUGCUUAUUUCUGUAUUGAAUGUAUAGAUAAAACAUAUGGCUUUCUAAAAUUGACCCUAACAAUUAUGUUCUCUUCACCAAUGAGAUGUUUUCCUUCCCAUGCAUCAUUACCUCUCAUAACUAUUCAGGACAAACUAGUUAUGAUCCCAAUUUAUAAUUAUGCCCUGAGAUAUAUCUGGUGGUAAGAAAAUUAUUUAAAACCUUCUGUGUGUUUGUUCAGUUGUAGAUGUAGUUGUAGAUAUUCUCAAUUUAUCCAGAAGCUGGGGAGGACCUGAACUGGGCCCAAUUGUUCUGAAAGAGAGAAGAAGCAGCACAACUGUCCUCUAACAAAAAUGGUACAUUUAAGGAGAAGGUUCAGGAAUCAGCGCAGGCAGCAUUAGCCCCAGAGGCUGGCAAGGCGGCUGAAUGGAUGCAGACGAGCUGCUCUCCCCAAGCGGGCGGGCUCUGCCAACACCUGUGAAGUGAAAACCCGUCUGCGCCGCAGAUCUUCUGUGUUGUACUGGACCCAGCCCUUUCCAGCUGAGCUGUGGUGACCCUAAACACUGUCCUGAGAUAUGUUUUGGGGCUGCUGUCUGGGCUCUGGUGCUACUUGCAGCUGCUCUUGAAUAUCUUCAACUGAUCAUCAGCUGGAAUAGCUGAAGUGAAACAAACUUCCCAUGAUCCACCUACCUUGAAGAACAGAAUCACUCUGGUAGGAGUAAAUUAUUGUGAGUGAGAAAAGCCUGACUGCUGGCUGCCUUUCUUGCCUUCCAAAUCUUAGAGCAGUGAGAAAUGGAGACAUGGUUUGGGUCAGCAUCCAGGUACAGAGCACGCUUCACCUGCCAUGAACUGGGGAUGGGGAAGCAAAGGGAAGAGUGCUGCUCUCAGAAGGCUUCCUGGUAGGGAGAAUCCUCAGUAGCAGAGCUGCUCCGAGCUGCUGGGGCAUGCAGAGGAGCUGCAGAUGGGGCCGAGAGUCCAGCUUGAUACUUCUCUGGUCAGCCACCAGUUACAGCAUUAUCAAAUGCUCACUAGAGAUUGAGGCAAUGAGAGGUGAAGUGUCUUGGUAAGUAACGUUUUUUUUCCAUUUUCUUUGUCCAAUCUUCCUGUUGCUCUCUGAUGUUUCUUCCUGUUUGUCUUCUUUCCAACAUUUCUGCCUCACUUACUAGUCCCUUUCUCACUGUCUCCUAUCUAUCUUUCAACCAUCUUUCUCCAUUUAUUCUUCUCCAACAAUUGCACUGAAAAGAGACCACGGUAGAAAUUAUUUUUACUUUGGCAGCCACUUUUUAUUUUUAUCUUUUCCCUGAAUAUCUGGGAUGGGUCCAGGCAGCUCUCCCCACUUUCAUCAUCUCUCUUCACAUCCCUUGUGACCCUGAGCUCUAGUCAGCAAUCUGAUGUCUGCCAUGAGAGCACCUCCCAUUAUCCAAAGCCACAAUCAGACUAAGGUGUUGUAACACUGUGUGUUGCUUUACUUACCACACUUGCUCUGCCGCUUUCUAGGAACUGCACACCUGUGCCAGGUUUUUCUCACAGAAUAAUAAUGACAGCACUGUCGCCUUUUGCACGUCUCUCCUCCUUGCUCCUGUGCCCAUCUUCCUCUCCUGAGCUUUGUGGUUUGGUCUCCUGGUGCAGUGCAGCCAGGAUAUGGGAGACUUGUAUUUAGGCUGUGCCUGAGGCAGUUUGAACUUGAAUCUCUUGCCCCUUGAAUUUGCACCCUGCCCAAGAGAUUAUCAACUCUUCUGUGAGGAGCGUGACCUGAGCCCUUUAAGUGGGAAAGCUUGAGCUUGACUUUUCAGUCUUGAAGUGGAGACACUCACCUGCCUGGGGAAACCACGUCUGCCAGGGCCUGCCCCAGUCAAUAUUUAAAUGCAAGUAUGGAGGUAUUCCCUGGAAGACAGUAGCAAACCCCAGGUUUCUUGCUGUCAGUAGUGCUUUGAGAACAACCACACAGAACAAUCAAUUUAAUCCAUUUAAUUAUUCCAUAUGAGCUGGAACAGCUCCAACAGGAUGGACUGGAGAAAGACUCUGCUCAACAAGAUCCUUUUGGAGCUGUGCUGAGCUCACUUGGCUGCCAUGGGUCAGUUCCCUCAUACCCCAGAGCAGCCAUGGAGCUGCCUCAGCACCACUGAUUUGACAUAGUGAGGACGUGUGGAGACUGGAGGGGAGGGAAGUGUGCUCCUCCACUCUGUUAUCCACGGUGGCAGGUUUGUAGCUGUAGCUGAAACACACACCUGCCAGUGCUGCCUCAGUUACUGCUCUGGACAGGCAUGGCAGCAAAUAUGUGGUGGAGGGAAAAGAAUUCUAUUAAAAGACAGGGCAGCACACUGGAGCAUUACAAGACAAAUUGCUUUUAAAGGUGGAAAUACAAUAAAAAUAGACUAAAGAGUCUUAAAAUACAAAAUCAAUGCCAAAACAGAGAAAGCCAGAAUGACUUCCAGAACUCAGCUAUAGGCAGUUGUCCCCCAGUAUAAGCCAGAUACUGUCAGUGUGUGGGAGACAUCCAGGAAUUUUCUUUCCUACAAAAAUAUUAGGAACAUUAUAUGUUUUAACUGUAAUGGAAAACUAGAGCUCUAGUGCUCAGUUCCAAAGAAGAACUCUAACCAUUAGAAGUGAUGUGGUACAGGGUGUGUGUGUGUGUGUGUGUGUGGCUGCUCCUUUUCUCCUCGAGAUUCUAUAGCUUCCUUCAUUCUUCGCUUCUCUCAUAUUACAGAAAGAAGGUAAUUUUUCCUGGCCAUUUACUAAAGCUCAUUAAAGACUGAAGAGAACAAACAAUGCUAUUCCUUAGAGACUACCAUUCAAAGUCAUUCUACAAUUCUCUGUUCUAAUACUUGAGACAAAUUAAUUAUUCCUUAGUGAAAAGUGUAUAAUUCCUAUUCUUCAUUUUUGGGGUGGGGAGUGGGGAAUAAUAAUAGGAAGUUUAUAUCUGAGUCAAAAGCUGUCUGAGCUGAAGGGAAAUGAGAAAAAAUGUGUGUUCCAAGAAGAGUAAAAGCAAUUACUCUAAUAAUAAUUCUAGGGAUAUUAAUGUCUUUUUAAAGUAAAUUGCUUUCAAAUAAACACCAAAGUUGAAGGCAUAGGAAAGGCUGGUUUAUUUAUUAAUCAUUCCAAACGUGCAUUUUUCUAAAUGAACAAGUGCAUGAGCAACUUCGCUGGCACAUAUUAAAUUUAGUUAAACGGCAACUUGUAAAUAUCUAAAAACUUCUGUAACCAGAGACUAAUUUGUUUAACGUGUUGAAAAUGUUCUGUGGAUGUGAGGAGCUACAUAUUAAACUUCAAAGCAAAAUGCUCCAGAGAUUACACCAUCUUAAAGACUGCAUAUUGGAAAGGCCUUUAUACAUUAAACAUAAAGGACUUUUAAUUCUCUUCUAUUUUGAAUACUUGUCAAUCUGUGUGACUCACGCUUAAGAUUGUAAACUAUCAUUUUAAGGUGUAAGGUCCAAGUUGAGACCUGGACCAUGAUUUGCAAGGGGCUGGCUUUUCUCUUUCAUCUCUAUUAAUUAAUCCUGUUUCAGUUUGCCCAGCGUACACUUCUGUUGACAUCACCUUUUCCAUAUACUUUAAAGAGUCCCCAGAGAGAUCUACUGCAGAACAAAAACUGGACAGAGAAUACAUUUGGAAACCAUUUUAUUUCUCAAUUACCAACCAAAACGUAUGGAAAAGAUUUACACUCUAUCUGAUUUACACAAUAAUUAUACUUUGAAAGCUUAGAAAUAAAUGGCUUGAUCCCUGAAAUCAUUAGUUACUAUACCAAAUGUAAUUGGUGUAAACUAAUGAGUUUACUGGAUGGCUGACCCUUAAUUACUGAUUAUAGUUAAACUCUAGCCAAUCAAAAUUUCGUUUACUUAUAAAAGUACAGUGUACUAUUAACAAGCAUUACAUUUCCAAGCAAGCAGCUUUAUGAUUAGUUGUAGCACACAACUCAAGCCUGUUCAGGGCUAUCAAAAGCAGCUUUUUAAUAACAGUGCACUAAGCAACCAUCAUUCUCUUACCUCAGCUUCUAUCAGACAACAGAAAGAAACCACAUAAUUAAUCAUCUCAUGCAAUAGAAAUAAAGCAUCUGGGCCAUAUCCAGGUGGGAUAUACCCAGCCUUUUUAGUUCAAAGAGCUGCAAGAGGCUGGGGAUCUGCCUUAGGAUAGGAUAACUGACAUGGGGAAUUCUGGCUCUCUUGGGGGAGCAGUAUGGAGUAUGGAAAUGAAAUACUGAUUGAUUGAGUGCAGUCCCAUGUGAUGUGGAGAAACCUAUCAACAAAAUAGAUUUAAUAAUUCCUUAAAUUGCAGAAGAUUUCUUGGGCAGAUUCAGUAUGUCGUGAUGGGACAUAUGAUUCCUGUACUGGCAAUCCCAAAAAUCUAGAAGUCAUGAUUCCUCACUAUUUAUUAGUUCAAAUGGAGAAUGUUUUGGUUUUUUUUUUUUUUUUUAAUAAAAUGCUAAAUGGGAACAAAUUAUUUUUAUUUGUCUCUGCUUGAUCUUUAAGAACUAAUGUUUUGCCUAACCAGGAAGACUCAAAAUUCCUAGUAAAAAAGUUGAAAGCAGAUUUCUAUAUAGACCACGAUUCCAGAGUUGGAACUUAAAAGAGGUACACUAAAUAUUUUAAUAAAAUCAUGAGCCUUUACAAUGCGUACAGUCACAUCCUUAAAGAUACUUAGGUAAAUGACUCCAGUGAUUUAAAGAUGUGGAAAUUCUCCAUCUCCUAGAUCAUUCCUGUGAAUCCUAAACUUCAGAUAGGAGAUGGAUACCAGAAGUCACAAGCAGAAUAUCAGGUGCUAUGGAGGUUUUAGUUGGAAGAAUAUGUAUUUGCUGGAGCUCUGCACUCUGUGCUCUGCAGAUGACCCAACAGAUCUCACAGCUGCAAGGGUUAAUUCUGUCAUGAUUGCAGGUCUCUCCUAUUUCUGUUUUUCUCUAUGAACCUUACCUGCUGGCCCUUUGGAACAAGUACUGUAACGCUUGCCCACUUGUUAGUAUAAACAUUUUCUUAAAACUCAGAAAUUUAAGAAUGAAGUAGUUCUCAGAAUAUCUGCACAUGGGUUAAAGUGAAAUUUUUUAUUUACUGAAUUCCUGUUUGUGAGAUGUGUCUGGGGUCAAGAAAAGGUUAAAGUUGUUUACUGCCUUCAAGCUCUGGUCUUAGAAGUUAAUUCAGAACUGUGCUUUGAGCAGCUACAGAGAGUAGUAAGUCCUUGCAGCAGUGAAUUGCUGGUUUGAUGUCAAGGUCCAUGGGCCUUAAUCAUAAAAUUAGUUUGUUUCUUAAGGAAACCCUAGCAGGGACUUUAUGGUUAUAUAAGUCAUUAUACUUUUUUACAACACAGCUUUAAAGAUGCUUCAGAAUGAUCAGAGUUUGUAGGAAGGGAUCAUGGUUUUUAUUAUUUGUGGAGUAUCCUCAAGCUGUCAUAGCUACAGCACUGCCACUUGGAAUAGCUGCUUCACAGUUCAAAAGAAAAGACAAAGGAUUUGUUGAAGCCUAAGUCAGGCAAUUAGGGCAUAUCUGUCCAGAGAAAGCUCAUUGAAUUGAAUGGAUUCCAUGUACUUCCUGACAACUGACUCCAGUUUUGUAGGAUCUGUAUAUUUGGGGCAAUCAAGGUGUUUUAUUACAAUUCCACAAGAGCAGAUAGAGGGCCUAUGAAGCUCUACAAGCUCUGCUUUUCACAGUUCUCUGAUGGAGAAUUUAGGGGUGAUUUUGAAAAUCAUGGAAAAGGAGGAAGGCAUAUUUUCCAAAACCUUGAGAAAAGACAAAGGAAACACUAGACUACACAAAAACUUUGCUGUCCACCCUCUGCACAGCAGUGCUGGUAAGAACAAUGCUGCUAUUUCUGAAUUGCUAACACUAAGACAACAGCCUCCAAUGCAGAAGGGAGACAAGAACCAUUGUUUUAGGAGGAGGGGAGCACACUAGAGACAGGUUCACUCUCCCCAGCCUGCCAUCCCUGCGGCACAGAGGAAAGGGGGAGCUUCUGGAAUGACUGGUGGAACAAGCACCAAAGGGCCCCACUUCCCUCCUUUUCUGUAAAGCCUGUAUAACUCUUUCUGUGAAAGAAAGCAUCAAGCCCCAUCUUGUUCAUGGAAAUACAACAUAUUUGAAAGCCGUAGUUAAUGGAUAAACUGUUUUCUGAUUGGAUGAGCCACACAAUAAAUCUCUUCCCAAGCCAAGUGCAAUGCAGCUUAUUCAGUUACAGUGAAAUGAGCCACUGUCACUUUGCUGCACUUGCAUACACCAGGCAAAAUUCUUCCAUCUUCAUCAGUCUCUUAGUGAAAUAGAAAUAAAACAAUUUUAACAGAAUGGUGUCACUGGAUCUGUGGCACCUGCUUUAAAAAUAAAUCUCUUAGCUUUGUCUUCACCAUUACUUUCAAUAAAUGUCCUAGCAUUGCCACAGCAUUUAUCUAGCAGCAGGAAACCAUUAUCCUAUGACAACAAUCUAUUCCAUUAACAUUAGCUCUUAAUUGUAAGAUUGUUUAUAAGACAGGAAAAGCUACUGAAUCAUAGUAGAAUGAUAAAAAGAGUUAUGGUCAUGGAGUAUAGUAGUCCCUCCAGUUAUGAAAAAUAACCUAGGAGUAGAAAGCUAUAUUUUUAUAUGAAAAAUAAUGUAAUAUUCUUAUGCAAUUUAAUGUUUUUAAAUAAUGGAUUACAUCAGGAAGGUAGCUAUUAAAGAGUUAAUGUUAAAAACUGUUAAUAAGAAACUCUUUCUUUGAUAAUGGUAUGGCUGUAAAACUAAAUAAAAGCCUAGAAACUCUCCUUCUUCAUUUUAUCAAUGCUGCACCAAGCCAGAGAAAUCAUAAUAACAGAAGCACAUUUGUCUGGUGGAGUGAACAGAAGAAAUGUUGCAGAAUUGAGAUAUGAAGAACCUCACUGCAGAAUAGAAGGAGAACUGUCAUUCUGAUUCUUUGUCAUUAUUGUUUCAUGUCCAGUUAAGUGAACUUAAAGUGACAGUUGUGUCAUAACUGCGGGCAUCUAUGUAAAUUUCAAAUCAAAUACGAUAGAGGCAUUUCUGCCAGACAGAAGUCACCAGGCUGCUCUUCCUCUUCAUUUUUGUAACCCUCCAUUUUCUCAUGCCAUUGCUGGUAGCCCUUAAAUUAAAAAGACAACUUCAAGAGGGGAUCUCUGUGAUCCGUGUGUUUCAGUGCUCAGCCUGUACCUUGCUUUCUUUCAGCUUUUUGAAACAAUGCCCAGUGUCAAAUUUCCACCAGAAGCAGUCACCACAAACAUCUAGAUGGAUUAGCUAAACCUGUGCCUUCCCAUUAAUGAUGUAUCACACAAGAAGACCCUGUGAAGUUUUAGGUUGAGAACGUCCCCUGAAGACCUACAGAGAAAACAGCUCAAGCAAAUGUUCCUGCAUUGGUUUACUGCAGCCCAAGCCAGACGUCUUCUCUGUGAAUAGAGCAAAAUAGGCAGAAAACAUUGGUCAUGGACUUUUCUGUACAGUACAGCAUUGUUCAGAGAUCAUGGGAACUUCAUAAAGAUAUCAGACAUACUUCUCCAUUGCAAUGAGCUACAUGUAAAUAAUUAAUUUCCUGGAAACACUCAGAUAUUCUAAUUACACAGGAUUUGCUACUGGACACACAUCUUUGAAAAUAAUUUCAGUGCAAUUAUAAAGGUAUUUUGUGUGAAUAACACCAUGAAAAAAUACUAAACAUGCUAUUUAUUCACUCAGGGAAAAUAUACUAUUUAUUUUUUUCUGCAUAUUUAAAGUUACUUGGCUAAUUAAUUAGAUAAUAAAAGCUAGAGUUAAGUUUUCAUUUUUCAUUGCAACACAUUGCAUAAAUGAUACUGUUAUAAAUGUGUACCUCUGCAUUAGGUAAGCGCAUUUUGGUCAGCUGAUUGAGUCAGAUUUUUAUUUUAAUUCCUUUCCAGUUGAUCUUUUUUGUAGUGUAAAUUUAAAGUAGCAUGGUGACUACUUUUACCUGUAAUUUGGGCCUUCCAAACAGCACCAAAUUGUGCUGUCCCGCCCUUCCAUUUGUUACAGUGACUAGUGAAAAGAAGCAACAUAUUAAUGCCAGUCCUAUAAAAGUAUCUGUGAAGAAAACAGUUUUUUACCACAAAGGGUAAGUUCUAUAUGAGUUUAUAUUAGGUAUUUGUCAAAGGACUUUUUUUUCCCUGUUAAAGAUGGAGUCAUAUGAAUCAUAAAAAUAUUAAUAUUUGAGACAAAAUAUCACUACAGGUAUGUCACCACAAAAAUCAAUUGUCAGUAUAUGUUUAAGAGUAGCAAAUCAAUGUUAACUGAUUUGCCUAAAAAUGCCUAUAGACUGUGGAAUGUAAAGCCCUCCUUCAAAAUUCACAUAGCAUGUCCAGUUUUUUUAAAUGAACUUGUUAUUACAUACACAUAUUCUAGAGGCCUUUCAAGAGUUUCAAUUUUAAACAAAAAUUAUAUGUAAAUGCAAAGUCUGAUAUCUUGCCUGUAGUCACAGAACCCACUUACAGGACUUGCUGCUACUGCUGGUUUGUGGUAAUGCAUCAAUUUCGCAUGAGCUCAGGACAAAUUGGUGAACAUAAUUUCAGCCACAUGAUGUCAUUACAAAUACAGCCUUAGCUCUUUCAAAAGUGGACUUUAUUGUUAAUAUAAAUAUAUAUAUGUAAUUACUGACAUUUAUAUUAUUUGGCUCCUGUCCUAAGUUAUAGAUACAGUGAUGAUAAAAGGGUCUUGCCAGCCCUUACCUAAGAAAACUGUGUUUACUAAUUACCUCCCAUGGUUCUGGGUUCCUGUAAAUAAAGUCACGCAUGUAUUUAUAAGCAAGUUAAAAUCUAUACACAUAUUUCUAAACAUAACUUAUCUUACUCUUUUGGGCAAACAGUACUGUCUACUGCUCAGAAAAGAAUGCUAAGAGUGAAUUCAUCCAGGAUUCUUCCCAGCUUCUGCCAGGAUGUGACUCUGCCGUAUCACUGGCUAUCCAACUUAAAUACUUAAUCCAGUCACAUUUUUAAAUUGAUUGAGGCCUGAACCAGAAGAUGCUAUGUGAGUAAAAGGAUGCAUUACUUUAAAAUAAGGAAUGGCUGUUGAUUUUUCAUUGCUGUUUCUGGACAGACUGGGGUCAGAGGGUUUGUUUUAGAAGUUUGUUUGUUCAAAAGGUGUAGUUGCAAGACACAUGGAUUAGCAAAGUGCCGCAUGGAAGAUCUCAGAGCAGCGGCAGCCUCAACAUUUCUCCCUAAUGAGGAAAGGAAAAGGAAGUCCCUUAGGUAUGCACUACUCAGGGAGAGAACCUAGAGGUCCCAUAAGAAUGCAGUAUUUAGGGAGAGAACCAAGACUCUUUUCCUGAAUGGAGAGAUAACUCUGAUGAAUUCUGGACUACCUGGUAUCUUAGGGGAACAUCUAGGUUUAAGAAUUAUUUCGAUUCCAGGCUGUAACAUUUUCCAGACAUUCAGAUUGCAACUACUAAGCCAGCAAUUUUAUGCUUUCCCUUCCCUGACUCCAACAGUACUGCAAUAUAAGCAGCCAGAUUUUCUUCUGCAUUGUGUUUUUUAUCCAUUCAGCCAAAAUUAACAGUCUUCUAGGAUAAUGUAUGCCAAGUGAAUUUAAAUCUUGUGGACUCAAAUCGACCUAAAGUUGAUGGAUACAUUCAUGCCUACUGCUGAAAUCUACCAAUUACACAGAACUAUGUUAACUUACCAUAGAAACAUCUCAUCUAAUAGCACAGAUGAUGUUGAACUAACUAAUUACAUUAUGGCACAUAGACAAUGAAAAACAUAACGAAGAUGACAGCACAGCAACAGCAGAUGCUGCACAAAAGAAAAAUUAGAAAAAUAUUGCUCUGCAAAAUGCUCUCAGUUAAGGUUUCCUCUGUUAAAAUUAAUCACAAAAAUUAGUGAUGAUCAGAUUUCAGAAAAAUAUAUGAACAUUGUAAUGCAAUUUGGAAGACAUCAUUAAGCCAUUUAAAACUCUGCUCCUUGAGAAGGUAAUUCCUGUUUUUUGUAUCACUCUCAUUUUUAAGACUAGUAAACAUUUUAGUGCCUGUGGCAGAGUUUCUUGGUAGAAUAUCUUUUCCAAUGAGGAGAGGUCCUAAUGGCUCUCCCAGAGUCUGAAUUUGGUAGCUUCCAGCCAUUACAGGCUUAGAUAAUUAGACAGCGUAGAUUUUAUUUGAGCUUGGCAUUUGCUCUGUUCUUGUGCUCUUAACUGUCAGAGAGCUAAAGUAUCAGUGAUUGUUGAUUAUCUGUAGCAUGCCUUAUUGCUUUAUAUAUUUUAAAUUGUACCAGAUCCUACAUAACAAAUCUAAAACUGCUGAGUACGUUUAAAUGUAAUAUGUACAUGGAGAUUACAUCCAGAUGAUAUAUUUCAUAGACCUAUGCUAAAAAAAAAUUAACCAUAACACUGGUCCUCUCCCCUUUCUCUGUGGAAGCUUUCCAUGAGUUCCCCAAGUCUGCUUUAAGCAGACUCUCAACAUAUCCCAGUCUAUGGACAAACAUAUAAAUAGAAUUUUCUCCCGUGUUUAAAUCAUACCUGUGGUGCCAUUCAAAUGUCGAUAUUUUAUUUCCUAUAUAUUAAGAAUCAAAAUAUAUCUUCGCUAUCCUA